rnacentral:lncRNA from 1 species
CAAGGACAAAAUGCAAAUAAAUCCAUGGAAGUAUUCAUAGAUUUUUGUGUGGUUUACUAUUAAGUUAAGGACAAAAUGCAAAUUAAUCCAUUGAUUGUGAAAAUACAAAAAAAAAAAAACUAAUUUAUGCGGGUUUUAGACUUUUAUUAGUUGAUAUAUUGUGUUUAAAUGAGGUAUUCGUGAUUUUCCAUCAUUAAAAUAGGUGUUAUUGCUAGAAUUUGUUUUAUGGAUUGUAUCCCUCAUAUGAUUAUUUCAUCAUUAGCUAGGUGUUCCUACUAUAUUGCUAUUUUUU